GGAAAACUAGAAUGCAAUAAUUGUUAGGCCAAAUUUUUACUUUUUCUUGUCACAUACACGCAUGCAUAGGCCCCAUUCCACAUGUGCACCACACGUGAGUACAUUUUCUUAUCACACACUCAAAUAGAUAAAGUUCAGUGGUAAAUCCUCGAUCUUACUAAAAACAUCAUUUAAGAUACACCUACGUAUAUAUAUAUAAUUGUGGGCUUUACGAAUCAACCCUGGUCAGUUGCACCACUUGUUGGAUAACUGGCUUGCGAGGGAGUCAGCAUGGGGAGUGAUCAAGAAAGAAACAUAUAAAUUAGGUAGAGCAUUAAUAAUUAAAUAUGUAUAUAUAUAACAAGAAAUAAACAUAUAAUUAGAUAUCAUUAAUAAUUAUAAGUGUAUAUAUAUAUAUAUAUAUAAUAUAGAUGGCUGAUAGUACUAUAUUGCAUUAAUGUAGCAAUUGUCGUUUUGUCUCAGAAGAAGUUGGGUUGUCGUAUAAUUUGUGGCCCAGCUGGAACAUCCGUACACAUCAAUAAUGAAUUAUCCACACAGCUUAAUUGAUUCCUCCAAGAGAAAGGUUAAUUAAUUAAUCGUAAUUAGCUCCUCAAGGACAAAGGAUUAUUUAACCAGCUCUAACCCGCACAUGUUUGUAUACAAGCACUAAUUAAAAUUAAUCUGAGUGGCACCCAGUCACCCACACAUGCUAGCUUGCAGGAGUGUACCAAAAGUGCUUCUGAUCAUUUGUGAUAGAACAGCGCGCGCCCGAUUUUUAAAGAAAAAUGGACGUCUGGUUGCCGGUUUGUAGGUGAUUUGUUCCGAACUUUAUCUUUUUGUUUCCGUUUAUAUUUAUAAGCUAAAAUUUGAAUUUUGAACCUUAAAGUUAAUUACAAUUAAUUUUGUAACUUUUUUCAUCAUAGUUUUUUUUUCAAACUUUUGCUAUUCUAUCGGCAAUGAAGAACAUAUAUAAAAGUUUCACUAAUAAAUUACUCCCUCCAUCCCUAAAUAUUUGACACCGUUGACUUUUUUAUACAUGUUUGACCGUUCGUCUUAUUUAAAAAAUUACAUAAUUAUUAAUUAUCUUUAUAUCAUUUCGUGUAUUGUUAAAUAUAUUUUUAUGCAUAUAUAUGGUUUGACAUAUUUGACAAUUUUUUUAAUAAGACGAAUAGUCAAACACGUAUAAAAAAGUCAACGACGUUAAACAUUUAGAGACAGAGAUAGUACCUUUUACUUAUAAAUACGUCGUUUCGCUCAUGGAGAUUUCUCCAAACCGCCAAGAGAUGGCCGGGGUGCGCGCAAGCGUGGUCGUCGAGGCGGGGGAUCGAGCCGUAUCAAUGCGGGGCCCAAGCGUGGUCGUCGAGGCGGGUGAUCGAGCCGUAUCAAUGCGGUGCUCGAAAUUGUGGUUGGUGGAUCGAUCCAUCGAUCGGCGUACGGCUGGGCGCCGCGGCCGCCGGGACAGUGGCGCAUGUAGAUUCUGAUGGCCGGCGGCCGGCGCGGACGACGAUCGAAUCAAUGCGCGCAAACGCAGCAGCAGGCAAGUGCCAACCACGCAACGAACGCCCCCCUUUUCCUUCUCUGUCCAGAGUCUCUCUCUCGAUCGAUCGUCGACCUUGCGAUUGGGGCUAGCUAGCCAGCCAUGGAUGGACCACCACGCACGUACGUACCUUGUUGCCUGCCUGCCCUUCUACUUCGGCCUGGACCGACGGACCGACAGCACUAGCUCUAUACUGCUAGCAGAUAACUCAAUGAUGGCAUUGGGCAUUUGGCCGCCUAGCCGGCUGGCUGAUCGAUCAUCAUGGGGAAAGCGCUAGGUAGAUCUAUAUGAUCUCAGGUGAUCAGUGGAUGCCUAGUCGUUGUUGGUUACUCGCUCCGUUGUAAAAUAAGUUUAUUUUCUAUCUCUCGGGUACCGAUAAAAAAUAUUUAAAAAAUGUUCUACGUUUAUUAUAAAACCUUAGCACAUACAUAUCUGCCAUCGCCUCUCUUAGUAGACCACUGGGCUACCAUUCGUAAGGGGCCCUUGGUAGACGAUUUGCAAUGCCACACCAUCUCUGGCCACAUCCUGAGGUCCGCGCCUAUAAUUUUUAUGUUUUAUAAAUUCUGGAUUUACCUUCUGAAUUGUGGUGUUUGAAUUUGUGAAUUUAAAUAUGGUUGAAUUCUAUUUCUACUCCUUCAAUUGCAAAAUAUAGCAGCAUAGUACUACGAUUAUACAUGACCUAGUGCUAUAAAUCUGGACGGGUAUGGUGAAAAUAUAUCCAGAUUCAUAGCACUAUGUGUUGUUUAAUUAUAGUACUAGGUAUGGACAUAUUAGUAGUACUAGGUGAUGUCUAAUUAUAUUACUAAGUUGUUAUAUUUUGAGACCAAGAUAGUAUGCAUUUGAAAUAUUCAUAUUUUGAUUAUUGUAGGGUUAAACUAGGUAUUAACAUGCAGUGUGUGUGUUAAAAAUAGAAGAGAAAAAAUAAAUGGAAGUUGUUGCUGGAGUUGAAGGUAUUUUUGAAGGUCCUCGGUAGCCAGGUAGCGCUCUAAAAUUGAGACUGUUGCACGAGAUGCCCUUAGUCUUUAGAGCAAGUAUAAUAGCAGGCUGUAAGCCGGCUAAAUGCUAAGAUGGAAUAAAGAUAAGAGGAGGGAGGGGAGAAGCGGGUCGUAAGUUUACAACCGGCUCAGGUACAAAAACUAAUAUAUUCUGUGAGAGAGACAAGUGUGUUUCGCUGUAUGAGUGAUCUAAGAGAAUGCUACAAAGAAUAUUAAAACCAGCUUGUUAGCUAUAUUAUUGGCCUCGCUCCUAAAGGGUGUGUUCAGUGUGAGUGCUUGCGGAGAGAAUCUACAGAGGACGUACCGUGCAUACAAAGACAGCACAAGUCGAUUUAUUAAUUCUCUGGAGCCAAACUGACGGAUGACGAUCAGAUCAACUAAAUAUAAGCACAGUGCCAUGCAAGCAGCAGGCCGUAGUAGAAAGUAAAAAUGCUCCUGUUGAGACCUUCCAUUUCAGAUUCCUUGGCACCACCUGCACACAGUCAUCAACCGGUCAAGUCUCCGGCCUGGCGAGCUCUGAAUGGGUGAAUAACCGGGCACAAUUUCCUCAGAUUUGCUGUUCCAACCGCUCAACACUGUGCCGUGAUCAACAGCAAGGCUAUCUAAUGGGGUCUCGUCCUUCACCGAUCACAUCACCCGUCCUAGCAUGCAAACCCUUUUCCGGGUCACCAACAUGGCAUGAUGAUUGCAAUCCUAACUACACCACCAACCAAGUGAAAAAUGGACACACUGGCUUAUGCUACCCGUGAUACACACUGUCAGAAAUAACUCUCUUUUGGAGCACAGAAAUUAAUUUGAAGUUUCCUGCUGAUUUGUUCAAAAAAGGAUUUAAUUACCACAAGAAUCACACUAACCCCGGCCCGUUGUUCCAAAAAGACAGACAUAUUUCAGGACGGUUCUUGCAGAGAGGUUGUAGUACGUGGUGGUAUGAAAUUCAGGUUGGUUUUCAGGAAUAGUUAGCUCAGGUAACGGCAGGUGGUACUGCUGCAUGCGGCAACCAAUUUGCUGGACAUCAUGCAUGGGACAUUGUGUUUUUUUCUUCAGCCUGCAACAGAACCUUCGGGUACAGUUGCAGCUCACUUCUCCACCAAUCAAUGGACCAUCCAUUUGCCUUUAUCAUCAUCGAUCGAUUGCACAGAUGACAGAUGAGACGUCGACCCACCAUCUGGGGCUUCGGCCAGUACGUACUAGACGCACACACUGAUCACUGCACCAAACGCCCCAGCAGGCAACAACUCGCAUUGCAGUGCAGUAUCCUACCUCUUUAGAGUUUAGAAAGAACAAAGUGUGUGACAGUACGACACACCGAUCAUCUCCUAUAUAUGUUGUGAACCAAACACAGUAGCUAGCAGGCCAGCUCUUUCUAGUGGUGGACUCUCAUUCUCGCACGAAUUUUAUAGGGUUCAUACAAGACUUGUUAGUUAGAGCUUCUUCAGAACAGUAAGAAUUUUACAAAAUCUCAUAUGAUUUAGUUUAGUUCCCUCACAAUUAAUCCCUCUAAUUUUUAUUCAAUCUGAAGAAGCCAUUAACACAUGGAUUUUAUAGGAUUUUCACACGAAUUAAUUCAAACCAAACAGACAAUUUCCUGAAAUAUUAAACAAACCAGAAGAUUUCAUUUCUCAUUAUAUUUGGACCCCCAUAUUCUGACUCCAAUUCUCCCUCCGAUUCUAAAAACAUCCCGUCACCCACUCACCCCUCGAAUCCUUAGAAAUAUUACUUUAAAUUAAACACACUCAAGAAUAGCAGCAGCAAGCAAGAAAGUUAAACAUGGGAUCUAGGGUUAUGAGUGGCCUACUUGGAUGUACCGGAGGCGACAGAGAUCGACGUCCCGUCCUCCUCCUCGAUCCGUCAAUCCAAUGCCUCGUCUCACGCGUCGUGGUGCGGAAGAAGGGCUCCGGUCUUCCGCAUCGACGCCGGUGGCGAAGACGACGGCGCCGCCGCCACCGCCGCGACGACGAACGUGGGAGCCACCUUUUCAGAAUUCAGGAAUAGUUUUGUCCUCCAUAUGUAACUGGGCUGUGCGAAUUUGU
rnacentral:lncRNA from 1 species